rnacentral:rRNA from 1 species
CUACGGGCGGCUCCAGUGGGGAAUAUUGGGCAAUGGGCGCAAGCCUGACCCAGCAACGCCGCGUGAGGGAAGAAGGUUUUCGGAUUGUAAACCUCUGUCCUUGGGGACGAAGAAGUGACGGUACCCAAGGAGGAAGCUCCGGCUAACUACGUGCCAGCAGCCGCGGUAAUACGUAGGGAGCAAGCGUUGUCCGGAAGUACUGGGCGUAAAGGGUGCGUAGGCGGCAUAUUAAGACAGGUGUGAAAUACUCGGGCUCAACCCGGGGGCUGCAUUUGAAACUGAUAUGCUUGAGUGUGGGAGAGGAAAGUGGAAUUCCUAGUGUAGCGGUGGAAUGCGUAGAUAUUAGGAGGAACACCAGUGGCGAAGGCGACUUUCUGGCUCAUAACUGACGCUGAGGCACGAAAGCGUGGGGAGCAAACAGGAUUAGAUACCCCCGUAGUC